rnacentral:rRNA from 1 species
GAUGAACGCUAGCGGCAGGCUUAACACAUGCAAGUCGAGGGGCAGCAUAAAUAGUAGCAAUACUAUUGGUGGCGACCGGCGGACGGGUGCGUAACGCGUAUACAACCUUCCCUAAACAGGGGGAUAAUCUGGAGAAAUUCGGACUAAUAUCCCAUAACAUCAGAGCAGGCAUCUGUUUUGGUUACAAUUUCCGGAGGUUUAGGAUGGGUAUGCGUAGCAUUAGCUAGUUGGUGAGGGAACGGCUCACCAAGGAGACGAUGCUUAGGGGGACUGAGAGGUUAACCCCACACACUGGUACUGAGACACGGACCAGACUCCUACGGGAGGCAGCAGUGAGGAAUAUUGGUCAAUGGGCGGAAGCCUGAACCAGCCAUGCCGCGUGCAGGAUGACUGCUCUAUGAGUUGUAAACUGCUUUUGUACGAGGGUAAAGUGGGCUACGUGUAGCCUUUUGAAAGUAUCGUACGAAUAAGGAUCGGCUAAUUCCGUGCCAGCCGCCGCAGUAA